rnacentral:rRNA from 1 species
GAAGGGAGCUUGCUCCCGGAUGUUAGCGGCGGACGGGUGAGUAACACGUGGGUAACCUGCCUGUAAGACUGGGAUAACUCCGGGAAACCGGAGCUAAUACCGGAUAGUUCCUUGAACCGCAGGGUUCAAGGAUGAAAGACGGUUUCGGCUGUCACUUACAGAUGGACCCGCGGCGCAUUAGCUAGUUGGUGAGGUAACGGCUCACCAAGGCGACGAUGCGUAGCCGACCUGAGAGGGUGAUCGGCCACACUGGGACUGAGACACGGCCCAGACUCCUACGGGAGGCAGCAGUAGGGAAUCUUCCGCAAUGGACGAAAGUCUGACGGAGCAACGCCGCGUGAGUGAUGAAGGUUUUCGGAUCGUAAAGCUCUGUUGUUAGGGAAGAACAAGUGCAAGAGUAACUGCUUGCACCUUGACGGUACCUAACCAGAAAGCCACGGCUAACUACGUGCCAGCAGCCGCGGUAAUACGUAGGUGGCAAGCGUUGUCCGGAAUUAUUGGGCGUAAAGGGCUCGCAGGCGGUUUCUUAAGUCUGAUGUGAAAGCCCCCGGCUCAACCGGGGAGGGUCAUUGGAAACUGGGAAACUUGAGUGCAGAAGAGGAGAGUGGAAUUCCACGUGUAGCGGUGAAAUGCGUAGAGAUGUGGAGGAACACCAGUGGCGAA